rnacentral:rRNA from 1 species
AGUGAACGCUGGCGGUAGGCCUAACACAUGCAAGUCGAACGGCAGCACAGGAGAGCUUGCUCUCUGGGUGGCGAGUGGCGGACGGGUGAGGAAUACAUCGGAAUCUACUCUGUCGUGGGGGAUAACGUAGGGAAACUUACGCUAACACCGCAUACGACCUACGGGUGAAAGCAGGGGACCUUCGGGCCUUGCGCGAUUGAAUGAGCCGAUGUCGGAUUAGCUAGUUGGCGGGGUAAAGGCCCACCAAGGCGACGAUCCGUAGCUGGUCUGAGAGGAUGAUCAGCCACACUGGAACUGAGACACGGUCCGGACUCCUACGGGAGGCAGCAGUGGGGAAUAUUGGACAAUGGGCGCAAGCCUGAUCCAGCCAUACCGCGUGGGUGAAGAAGGCCUUCGGGUUGUAAAGCCCUUUUGUUGGGAAAGAAAUCCAGCUGGCUAAUACCCGGUUGGGAUGACGGUACCCAAAGAAUAAGCACCGGCUAACUUCGUGCCAGCAGCCGCGGUAA